UUAAGUUGAGUAUUAAAAACUUUAGAAGUUGGAUGGUACCAAUCUUGGGGUGUGAAAAAUCCUGGAAAAUCUCAGAGCCGAAGACGAAGCUAGGAAAAACCAGGAGAAGUGGAAACAGCAGUGAGGAAUGCACCCCUGAAUGUCUGUCAACACAAUCAACGUUCCUUAAGAUACCUCCUUCCCAGGGAAGCUGGGCUGCUGGAACAAACAAGGGGCUCACCUCUGCAACUCAGUCAUGGCCGAGAACUGCUUGACCCUCACGAUCCCUGCCACACCUUUGCUUAAAAUUGGAUAAAGACCUUAUGAAAAUAAUACCCCCAAAGAAGUAUUGGCUGUAAUUCUUCUGGCAACUGAGAUUUGAAUAUAAGCAAU
rnacentral:lncRNA from 1 species